UAUUGACAAAUGAGUGGCUUGAUUGUGGGAUUAUAACUUUUUAUGCAAUGUGCCUACAUAAUCGGUUGAUGACUCGUCAAACAAAUCAAGGCCGACUUAACCAAUGUCUCUUUUUGAACCCGUACAUGAUUAAUGAUGAUGCGUGUGCCAGCGAUCCAGGAAAUGUCAUGACUUAUCUGACUGAUUCGAUCACUCCUUACAAACCUAACAAGCAUAUUUAUCUUAUCAUGCCUUAUUUACAAAUGAAACAUUGGUCACUAUUGAUUUUGGCACCUGGUAAAGGGUUGGGUUUCAUUUUGGAUUCCAAG